rnacentral:rRNA from 1 species
UGGGGAAUAUUGCACAAUGGGCGAAAGCCUGAUCCAGCAAUGCCGCGUGUGUGAAGAAGGCCUUCGGGUUGUAAAGCACUUUUGUCCGGAAAGAAAUGGCUCUGGUUAAUACCUGGGGUCGAUGACGGUACCGGAAGAAUAAGGACCGGCUAACUACGUGCCAGCAGCCGCGGUAAUACGUAGGGUCCAAGCGUUAAUCGGAAUUACUGGGCGUAAAGCGUGCGCAGGCGGUUGUGCAAGACCGAUGUGAAAUCCCCGGGCUUAACUUGGGAAUUGCAUUGGUGACUGCACGGCUAGAGUGUGGCAGAGGGGGGUAGAAUUCCACGUGUAGCAGUGAAAUGCGUAGAGAUGUGGAGGAAUACCGAUGGCGAAGGCAGCCCCCUGGGAUAACACUGACGCUCAUGCACGAAAGCGUGGGGAGCAAACAGG